GAAGGGAUCCACAUAUGCAUACAAUUGAUACAGAUAUACCAUCGUCUUUAUAUACGUGUCGCGUUAUUCUUGCUGCUGCCGCGCGCGGUAUACCGAGCCGGCAUAACACGAACGGCCCGAGCGGAGAGCGCCUCAUAGUCUACAAUACGAUAACGCCGCUCUCAUAGAUUCGAUGUAGCCAGCCGAACGAACCAGACUACCGGAUACCUGCGCGACCGUCCUCCGCCGCCUUAUUGCGCUGACUAUUCGCGACAGGACAGGUUCGCGUACAUCUGUUCUUGUCAUAAGGAGUGAUUUAGGGCUGGUUGCGGGCAUUGAUCUACCCGCCGCGGAGGAUAUCGACCAUAGAACCGCGGAUCUCCCUUCAAAAAAUCCAAGAUCGAACGUGUUUCAUUGAGCAACAACGUUUCAAUGCCGUUUUUCAGGGUAAUGUUGUAUGAUUUGAGGUUAAGUUAAUGGAAUAAGGAGAUAGCAGAGGAUUUCGGUAAAGUUUGAAGAUGAAGUCGACACAUAGAUUGCUUUGUUCUGUUUUCAAUUCUAUGGCGUCUGCGAUAUCGAUAUCGAUUAUAUCGAUUUAAUUUGAGUAACAGAGUUUUUAGUAUUGUUUAGUGAAUUAUCUUUAAUUGUACGUGUUUUCCGUGAAUAGUGUAAUAUUUUGAAGUGUUCACAACUUAACCUGGAUCUAACCUAAAAUUCGCCUCAUGUUUAUGCUAUCUCUGACUGAUUCUUUGAUUAUAUCCAUUGUUACACCCGAGUCAGAAGAGAGGUAGGCCUGGCCACGUUGGUACCGCCUACUAGAGUGAUCCCGACAAGGAAGGACUUGACCAACCUCGUCCUGCCCCUCCAGCACGAUCCUCUACUCCUGGACUCAACCUGACGGGAUCACGUUCUGUGCCGUCGUUCCGAUUAAUUCUUUUGCUGUAAAGGGUGCACUCUUUGGCCGAUUCACCUGUCGCAAAGCGUAUUGGAGAUCGUUGAUGCCGUGGAAAGAGAAAUGGCGGCGGUUCAGGUUUAUGCAACCCAGAUAUAUUUAUCAUUCUUCCAGAGGAGUAAUUGCAAGAACAUCGAUGACAGAAAAUCUUCAUUCAUCGGUCCUCGUCCACUGAACCAGAUGAAUCGAACCUACGUUACAACUUAUUAAGUCGAUAUUCCACGAAAACGACACUUUUGAAAAUUUCCUUGCCUCGUUGCCCAAUCUUCAAAUUCCCCGAAACGAAUUAGGUGUAUGUUUUUUAAUCAACGCUCCUAAGCACGCGUGCUUCAUCGUGACGAUCGUAGCGAGGAUAGGACAGGAUAGCACAGCGACAAUUAACCACGUUCGUCCAGUAGCUGGUGUAUAUACAUAUAUAUCGGGUUUCGUGAUAUUUCUUAAUUAAAUAUAGCCUCAAGUUAAAAAUGAAAUUAAAUAGAAGCCAGUAUUUUUCGCCGCCGCCUACCGGCGCCGCGUCCACCGCAUGGCCAACCCUUUCAACCAGUUUCUCGGUCGUCGACAAUGGCGAGAGUAAGGUUGCACGGCCGUCGUACGCCCAUUUCGACUCUCUCUGCAACCCCUUCUCGCUUUCCACGGGCCACCCACCAUACAUAUUUCACGUCGAAAUAAUUAAACGCCGCUGGACCGCGAGUCGACU